rnacentral:rRNA from 1 species
GUCUAUGGCCAUGCCACCCUGAAUGUGCCCGUUCUCGUCUGAUCUCGGAAGCUAAGCAGGGUCGGGCCUGGUUAAUACUUGGAUAAUAAUUCCUAGGUUAAUACCUAGGAAUACCAGGUGCUGUAGGCA